GACGAACGCUGGCGGCGUGCUUAACACAUGCAAGUCGAACGGAAAGGCCCUGCUUGCAGGGUACUCGAGUGGCGAACGGGUGAGUAACACGUGGGUGAUCUGCCCUGCACUUCGGGAUAAGCCUGGGAAACUGGGUCUAAUACCGGAUAGGACCAUCGUUUAGUGUCGGUGGUGGAAAGUUUUUCGGUGCAGGAUGAGCUCGCGGCCUAUCAGCUUGUUGGUGGGGUAAUGGCCUACCAAGGCGUCGACGGGUAGCCGGCCUGAGAGGGUGGACGGCCACAUUGGGACUGAGACACGGCCCAGACUCCUACGGGAGGCAGCAGUGGGGAAUAUUGCGCAAUGGGCGGAAGCCUGAUGCAGCGACGCCGCGUGGGGGAUGACGGCCUUCGGGUUGUAAACUCCUUUCAACCAUGACGAAGCUUUUGUGACGGUAGUGGUAGAAGAAGCACCGGCUAACUACGUGCCAGCAGCCGCGGUAA
rnacentral:rRNA from 1 species